rnacentral:lncRNA from 1 species
UAAAGAACAUCUUUCAUGAUUUGAUGCUCCAGACACAGAGCUGAAGAUGUAGAUUUCUCCUCUUUCUCCCCUCCUAUGUAAUGUUUUUUUCUCUCCUCUUCAUCCUCCAAAAAGAAAAAUGAGGCUUGAUGGAGCGUUUAGUUGUUGCUUUUUUUUUUGGUAGGAACUGUCUGUUAGGGCCAUGGAGAAGAUUGCCCAGGACACCCGAAGGCAUUAUUUUAUGCUAGUCAGCUGCAAGGGAUGGAAGUAGUUGGAAACUACAGAAGAAUCUGUGCUGAACACAGCUCCAUGGAGGCUACCUGCAAAAUUAGCAUGCUAACUGCGACAACAGUGAGAUGUGGAGUUGGAUUUGUUAUUACCUUAUUUGGGAGAAGGCAUAGAGAAGCAACACUCUCAAUAGCAUGUAACUGUUUCGAAAGGGAAUGUGUGUGUUUGGGGAGAUGUAGGUAGCUAGGUAGUGGUAACAGAAUUUAGCUUUCCUAAAAAUACCGUCAAGGGGCCUACCAGAGUAAGGUAGUAGUUUCAACAAACUACAAGAAGUAGAAGAGUGGGGUGAUAGAGGCAGCCUGGAAUACAAGAUAGUCAAGAUCAUACUACAGUUGUAUUUCUUAAACAAUACGCUUAUAUUAAUUAUAUGAAUUUGACAAAAGCAAAGAGCUGCUACCUGUACCUGGAUACAGAUGGAUUAUUGCUAAAACUUGAGUACAUAACCAGAUAGGUACUGACAGUUCACUGAGUUUCCCUUCACUUCCUCUGACUCUCCAUUUAUGAGAAGGAAAAUAACUUCUGAACAAUAGUGAACUAUCCAUAUAAUAGCCUGUUUUUUACUGAUUUCCUAGUACAGAUCUGGAUCUUGAAAUAUUUUCUUGCCAUCAG